UACGUAGGCAGCGAGCGUUGUUCGGAGUUACUGGGCGUAAAGGGUGUGUAGGCGGUUCUUAAGUUUGGUGUGAAAUCUCCCGGCUCAACCGGGAGGGUGCGCCGAAUACUGAGGGACUUGGAGUGCGGGAGAGGAAAGUGGAAUUCCUGGUGUAGCGGUGAAAUGCGUAGAUAUCAGGAGGAACACCGGUGGUGUAGACGGCUUUCUGGACCGUAACUGACGCUGAGACACGAAAGCGUGGGUAGCAAACAGG
rnacentral:rRNA from 1 species